rnacentral:tRNA from 1 species
GCCGGGGUAGCUCAGUUGGUAGAGCACAGCACUGAAAAUGCUGGUGUCCCCAGUUCAAGUCUGGGCCCCGGCA